GGGGAACUAGUCCAAAAUAAGACCUCUGAUUUCGGCUCAGAAAAUUGUGGUUUAAUUCCACGGCUCCCUU
rnacentral:tRNA from 1 species